rnacentral:rRNA from 1 species
AUUGAACGCUGGCGGCAUGCCUUACACAUGCAAGUCGAACGGCAGCACGGGAGCAAUCCUGGUGGCGAGUGGCGAACGGGUGAGUAAUAUAUCGGAACGUGCCCAGUCGUGGGGGAUAACGCAGCGAAAGCUGUGCUAAUACCGCAUACGAUCUACGGAUGAAAGCGGGGGACCGCAAGACCUCGCGCGAUUUGAGCGGACGAUAUCAGAUUAGCGAGUUGGUGAGGUAAAGGCUCACCAAGGCGACGAUCUGUAGCUGGUCUGAGAGGACGACCAGCCACACUGGAACUGAGACAAGGUCCAGACUCCUACGGGAGGCAGCAGUGGGGAAUUUUGGACAAUGGGCGAAAGCCUGAUCCAGCAAUGCCGCGUGCAGGAUGAAGGCCUUCGGGUUGUAAACUGCUUUUGUACGGAACGAAACGGUAAGCUCUAUACAGUUUGCUAAUGACGGUACCGUAAGAACAAGCACCGGCUAACUACGUGCCAGCCGCCGCAGUAA